rnacentral:rRNA from 1 species
GAUGAACGCUGGCGGCGUGCUUAACACAUGCAAGUCGAACGAACGACUAUUAACAGAACCUUUCGGGGCGAAGAUGAUAGAAGUUAGUGGCGGACGGGUGCGUAACGCGUGGGUAAUCUGCCUUUGUCAAAGGAAUAACUAUUCGAAAGAAUAGCUAAAACCGUAUAACAUAUUAAUAGGGCAUCCUAAUAAUAUCAAAACUGAGGUGGGCAAAGAUGAGCCCGCGUCUGAUUAGCUAGUUGGUGAGAUAAAAGCCCACCAAGGCAACGAUCAGUAGCCGACCUGAGAGGGUGAACGGCCACAUUGGAACUGAGACACGGUCCAAACUCCUGCGGGAGGCAGCAGUGGGGAAUAUUGCACAAUGGGGGGAACCCUGAUGCAGCAACGCCGCGUGAGUGAAGAAGGCAUUCGUGUCGUAAAACUCUGUAGUAGGGGAAGAAAGAAAUGACAGUACCCUAAAAGAAAGCCCCGGCUAACUACGUGCCAGCAGCCGCGGUAAUACGUAGGGGGCAAGCGUUAUCCGGAAUAACUGGGCGUAAAGGGUGCGCAGGUGGUUUAACAAGUUAGUGGUGAAAGGCAUAGGCUCAACCAAUGUAAGCCAUUAAAACUGUUUAACUUGAGUGCAGGAGAGGAAAGUGGAAUUCCUAGUGUAGCGGUGAAAUGCGUAGAUAUUAGGAGGAAUACCAGUGGCGAAGGCGACUUUCUGGACUGCAACUGACACUGAGGCACGAAAGCGUGGGGAGCAAACAGG